CACACGACUCCUCGUGAAAGAAGUGCUGCGCUGCUGCUGAGCGCUGCGUUCAGCAUUCCCCCACCGCGCACGCUGCGGGGAAGCGAGUCGGGGCUGGGCGCGCGGCUACGGCGAGCACCGCAAUCCCUGCUCUCCUGCAGACGUCCCACCGGGCCUCAAGCAGAGAUCCCCCCGACCUCACCGCAACUUUUCCUCCCCCGCGCCAGCGGCGUGGAUCCAAGAAAAGGAGAAGCUGGAAAGAGAACGAAAGGGGAAGCAGGGGAAAAAAAAUAAUAAAACCUCAACCAAAAAACCCGGCCCUGAAUCAGGGAUGGCUUCACAGCGCCUCAAGCAAACCCGGCGUGCGGGCUACCGUACGGGACCGGAGCGGCAUCCCCGCGCCGCGCUGCCGGCUGCCCCUAUAUCCCGUAUCCUCGCAUCCGCAUGUCCCUAUAUCUCUACAUCCCUUUACCCCUACAUCCCUAUAUCCCCAUCUCCCUUGUAUCCCUACGUCCCCUCAUCCUUACAUCUCCAUACCCGUGUAUCCCCCUAUCCCUAGAUCCCUACCCCCCCGUAUUCCCACAUCCCUACAUCCCCCUAUCUCUGACCCCAGGACAGUGCCG
ensembl:lncRNA